rnacentral:rRNA from 1 species
AUGCAAGGUAUGGCGUUGGCCAUUGAGCACUCCGAGACCCCGGUGAUCCUUCAAUCAGAUUCAUCCGAAGCUUUAUCAUGUCUCGCCACGGAUGCUCUCCAACGGUCAGCGUAUGGUCAGCUAGUAAUGGAGAUCAAGCACUUAUCUGGUAUUAGGGAGUUUGUUCCUCAGAAACUUAGUCGUGUUCAGAAUAGAGUUGCCGAUCGGCUGGCAUACUAUAGCCGUACGGAGCGUGCCACUGCUGUGUGGCUAGGCUCGAUUCCUCCAUGUAUUGAGGAUGUAUGGCCUCUCGACUGUAACUCUAUGAAUUUGCAAUAA